rnacentral:ncRNA from 1 species
GGUCUUUGGGGCAGGGUGAAAAUCCCGACCGAUGGUAUAGUCCAUGACCCGCCUAUAUAGGCGGCUGAUCUGGUGUGAUUCCAGAACCGACGGUUAGAGUCCGGAUGGGAAAAGACG